AGUCCUUUUUUGAUACUCACCUUUCUGGCGAGUUUGCCGAGGACACCAGACCAACUUUCAUUACCAGAAAAUCCAAACUGUAAGACAUCAGUUGACACUGUAAUGUCAUACCUGCUGGGAUUAAACACGAAGACAACGAUACGUAAUCGCCUACGUGAAAUUCAUUUUUUUGGACAACGUUUCCAGCAGUUCUUUUUCCAUUAAGCCUUUGCUGUUGGUUGAUAUGUUCUCAAUACGACCAAGCGGAUUCUGAAUAAAGCAAGUACAUAACAGCCAGCGUCAACCUCCAUCCUUUCAUCUUGAAGUACGUUAACAGUUAUCUUGAUUUUAUUCAAUUAACGUGCCUGAAACAGCAACAAUCAGCUUAACUAUGGGCUUCUUCUACGAUUGAAUGCUUGCCG